GAAUACAGUUGAUUGUGAAUUUGCGUUCGCAAUAGACAAAAAGUUGUACAAGAAUAUUCUUCUUCGUUGAAACUCUACGAAUUCUAAGAGAUGGCUUCCCUGAGACUUUUCAUCUUUGCAAUUUUCUUGCUCGGUGUGGUGGAACUCAUUAAUGCAGCUCCAGGUCCAGAUCCAAUGUUCUACCCUUAUGGCGGCGGCUACGGAUCGGGAAGCUUUGAAAGUGGAGAGUUCUAUGGAGGCUACGGCUACAUGCCAUACGGAAUGUACCCAAGGAUGGGCAUGGGAUACUACCCCUACGGAAAGAAAUAAACGGACCAGUAGUGGAUGAACUUUAACCUUUUGAUUGAUCAUGAAUUGGAGCAAAUAAAUGAAGGAACUUUGAUACUGAAGCACCUGAAGUAAGCUACAGGCAGAAGAAAAUGUUUUCUUUUACAUAUUUUUGGAUUCCUUAAAAAACAUGCACAGAAUUCAGGGGGUAGACAAAGCCCUUUUUUACUCGAACACAGCAAAUAAUGGCGGACGGUUUGCAGAGAAAUUAAAGGAAGAAAAUGACGUCACUUUAUUUCCAAAAAGUGCAUCAAAAUUUUUAAAAUCAGUUUUAGUGCAUUAAUCUUCGUGAGACACCCCUCAAAAGCUAUCAAUCGAUAGAAUAUUAAAUUAUCUAUCCAGUGGUGGUGGAUUUUUUCAGAUUGAAGCAUUUUCCUGGGUGUCUCAGCGAGUGAGCAGUGAAUUCCUAUGGAAAUAGAGUCUUUGUCUACCCCCUGACAGAAUUAAAAAAAAAUAUAUAUUGCAAAAGAAAAAUAAAAAUUGUUUACAAAAA